UUUAAAAAAGUACACUUCCAUAAUGUACUGAAAGUGCUUUAUUUUCGCACACUAAUUGUGUACUUAAUAUACUAAAAUGAUUCUUUAGUACUUCUUAAGAAAAACCAAGUGCCCUCAA